rnacentral:misc_RNA from 1 species
UUAAGUUCAGCGGGUAUCCCUACCUGAUUCGAGGUCAAACUGAGGAGUUCUUAAUGGACGCGAACCCGCCGAUAGCCUUCUGAAGCGCAAAGUGCUGCGCAAGAAGCCGGCGAUGCCGCUGCCAAUAUAUUUAGGGCGAGUCCUCGCGAGAAGCGCGGACAGACGCCCAACACAAGCAUAGCUUGAGGGUGUAAAUGACG